rnacentral:lncRNA from 1 species
GGUGGGGGAGAGCAUGAAGAAGUGGAUGACGAUGCCAGUGUGGGCACCGUUGCGAAGGAUAAGAGUGUGCUGCAAGUAGGCUCGCUGCAGAGGACUGCAUAUGUACAAAAGAAAAUAUUGUCAGAUCAAUGCUUUAAAUUUGCACUCAAUAUUGUACCAGAAUUUAGUUACUAAUCUAAUAAAAAUUCAGAGAAGUUUAUGUCAAAAUUAGUAGCAAGAUAAACCAUGAGGUAACACGGUGGUGAAGCACCAGUGCAGCAACAAUAAUGUAAAACAUGUGUCCUGUGUAUUUCAGAAACAAGGU